rnacentral:ncRNA from 1 species
CCCGCUGAAUUUAAGCAUAUUAAUAAGCGGAGGAAAAGAAACUAACAAGGAUUCCCCUAGUAAUGGCGAAUGAAGCGGGAACAGCUCAAAUUUAAAAUCUCCGUUGCUUGCAACGGCGAAUUGUAGUUUCGAGAAGCACUUUCUCGGCGGAUCCGAGGUCGUCCAAGUUGCUUGGAACAGCACGUCGUAGAGGGUGAAAACCCCGUCUGCGGCGACCUCGGCCGUUUUAAUGAAACCCCUGUACAGUACCUCAUGGUAAGAAAGCAAUAUCUACCUUAG